GACGAACGCUGGCGGCGUGCCUAAUACAUGCAAGUCGAACGCUGAAGAGAGGAGCUUGCUCUUCUUGGAUGAGUUGCGAACGGGUGAGUAACGCGUAGGUAACCUGCCUUGUAGCGGGGGAUAACUAUUGGAAACGAUAGCUAAUACCGCAUAACAAUGGAUGACCCAUGUCAUUUAUUUGAAAGGGGCAAAUGCUCCACUACAAGAUGGACCUGCGUUGUAUUAGCUAGUAGGUGAGGUAACGGCUCACCUAGGCGACGAUACAUAGCCGACCUGAGAGGGUGAUCGGCCACACUGGGACUGAGACACGGCCCAGACUCCUACGGGAGGCAGCAGUAGGGAAUCUUCGGCAAUGGGGGCAACCCUGACCGAGCAACGCCGCGUGAGUGAAGAAGGUUUUCGGAUCGUAAAGCUCUGUUGUAAGUCAAGAACGAGUGUGAGAGUGGAAAGUUCACACUGUAACGGUAGCUUACCAGAAAGGGACGGCUAACUACGUG
rnacentral:rRNA from 1 species